GAGCAGCAGGCCCUGCGGAGUCCAGUUACACAGGGCCCUGAAGCCAGGUUGGGGUCUGAUGCUGUAGGAUAGCACAGGGGAGCCGUCAGUGGUGCCAUCCCCCCACCCCCAGCUUCCUUUCUUCCUUCCUAUUACUCCUCCUGUCUUCUUUGGAAAAAUUAGACAUCAUCAUUGCCUCCUGUCUGAGCUAGAGAAAAUUCCACCUUCCCCCAGGCUCGGCUACGGUCUCACCAGCGAUGUCAAAAGGAGGGAGAGCCCCCAGCUGAGCCAUGCUGAGCCAUGCUGAGCCAUGCUGAGCCACGCCCAGCCCUUGAGGAUGCCAGGCGCAGCCCAAGUGGCUUCUCAUCCAGGAUGCUGAUGGUGGCUGUCACCGGAGCCUGUCAUAGCACCUUUAGGCCUCAGCCAAAGAACAGUCAGUCUCUGCAGGCUCAGAAGCACUGAGGAAAUUGCAAGCUCAAGUACCUGUGGGAUGGAGCAGGUGACAUAAGCAGGUGAAGACACCAGGAGUGAAGGAGCGAGAGGCACCCUGCUGGAGAAACAGCCAGUUGUCGUAGGUGGGACUGUGGGUCCAGCAUACAGGUCUCCGCAUUCUCAAUAAAGGCUGAAAACUUUAAAUUUCAUGAAGAGUUAAUUUUUAAAUGCUAGAGAUAGGUGUGGUGGUACAGGAGGAUUACAGUAAAUUCAAGGCCAGCCUGAACUAUAUAAUGAGACCCUGUCUCCAAAAAAAAUGCUGGAAACUAAUUUUAGAAUAAAAUUAAACACUGAAUGAG
rnacentral:lncRNA from 1 species